UUCUUCUAAAAGUUUUAUAGUUUUUGCUCUUACAUUUAGGUCCUUGGCCUAUUUCCAGUUAGUUCCAAUAUGACUGUAUCUGGAGACAGGGUCUUUAGGAAGUAAUUAAAGCUAAGUGAGGUUAUAAAGUAGGGGCCCUAAUCAGAUCUGUUAGUCUUUUAAGAAGGGGAAACUCUUGGGGCUGGGUUGUGGCUCAGUGGUAGACCUCUAGCCUAGCACAUGCGAGGCCCUGGGUUCGAUCCUCAGCACCAUGUAAAUAAAAUAAAGACAUUGUGUCCAACUACAACUAAAAAGUAAAUAUUAAAAAAAGAAGGGGAAACUCUCACUGUCUUUCCAACCCCAGCCAAGUGAGGACAGCAAAAGGGUGGCCAUCUGCAAGCCAGGCGAGGGACCCUUACCAGAACCGCGCUUGCUGACAUCCUGAUCUUGGACUUCAGACACCAGACUCCAGAACUGCCCAUGGCCAAAUUUAAUUUUGGCUCCAAACCAACAUUGAAAGACAGAGAGAGGGACAUAAGGGGAAAGCAACAACAAAAAAAAAACCCUUUUGCUACCUGAAGCACACAAUGGAUUCAUUGAUCGGAGAACAAGAGCUCAAGUUAUGCAGCCAGCAGGACCUGAAAGUCAGACCUGGCUAAGCCCCUGAUGCAGCCUGUGGCUUGGGAAGAUCCAGAAGUCUUAACAAGGUUACCCAAGAAAAAUGGGGACAAGAAGAGUGAUCCUGCGUAUGGCCACAUGCUUCAGUUUCUACCCUUCAGCAAUGGAGGAUACCAUUGUCAACUCUCUGGAGAUGUGGAGAGGAACAAGUUUGCCUCUGCCCGCUUCUCUACUCUUUGGGUCGGAUAGAGGACCAAGAACUGGCACCAGCAAGGCUAACAGGUCCGUGCAUGCUCCACCCAGUAAUGAGGCCAGGUGUCCCCAAUCAGAGAGACAAUUCUAAGGCAGAAUUUCCUUUACACAUUCAAAAUUGAGGAAAAAUCUGCCCAGACUAUUUAUCCAGUGCACUAGUGACAAAGAAAUGCUCCAGAUUUUGAGAUGCUACAUGCGUUGGCAUCAUCAAAGAAGGAACAUGAGGAGACGGAUAGAAGUCUGAUGGAUUAUCUCUCUCCUCUUUAUGGUGGAGAACUCCUAGCCACAAUUGUCCUUGCUUAGCUAUAUUCCUACAUUCCUGGAAUCCACUGUGGCAUGGGGUCAUAGACUACUGCUAUUAGAACCUCCUGCUUGGUAGGAGAUCUGGUUUCUUCCCCCACCACCUCUGCUUCUCUUUUAUGAAAUUAUAUAUGAUUAGAUGUUAGAUUCAACUCUUUCUAUUGUUUAGGAGAUGGACAGAGUCCUAAAGUCAGAUCCUAUUAAAAUAGAUGCUAAGUAACACCACAUUAUAAGAGAAUAGGAUAUUGAACUACUGUUAAAGACAUGUUAGAAAUGAUAAAACCAAGCCUGCUAGCAUUCAUAGUCAUCUACUUUCAAUCUUUAAAAAUAGAGAGGGAAGGAGAACGAGUUGCAGUAGGCUUGAGCUGCAGUUUCUUAGACAGAGGGGAGGAAAAGGCUCGUCUUUUUGUGGAUACCAGAUAUGAGCCUGUGGGAGGGGAACCAGCCUGGAGUCUUCUUGAAGGAACUCUGUCCCUGAAGAUGCCCUGGAGGGAGUAGACCACCAGGAGCUGACAGAUCUGGGGGAAACUGAAAUUCGGCCAUCCAGAAGGAAGCCUCAUCCAUGAUAAGUAGGAUGACUAUAACUUUUCUCCAAAAUGGGGAUACUUUUAAGAAAGAAAAGAGAUUCCACUGACACAUCUGCUGAAGCAACAGACUUCAACUGGAACUGUCCCAACAAACAGGACAUAGAGUCAGCCUCAUGUUAAGGAGACUGAAUUGGAAGUUCCCAUAGCAACCUGCAACUUCCUCCCACCAGGGGCCAGUUUUGCAUCCCUUUUGGUCUCAGAGAGCAUCCUGAUAUCAUCCUAGUUUGAACUGACUGACUGGGUGGUAACUGUAGGCAGGUAGGGUGUGGCUGGAAGAGGUGGGUCACUAGGGGUGUGCUCUGGAAAGGUUGUACUUCCUGUGGGGGGAAGCCCCCUGCUUCCUUGCUGCCUCGAGGGGAGCAGCUUCUGCCUCCUCUUGGGCCCAGACAAUGGAGUGGGCCAUUUAUGGACUGAGACCUCAAAUAAACUUUUCCUCUUCUAA